AUUGAACGCUGGCGGCAUGCCUUACACAUGCAAGUCGAACGGCAGCACGGGAGCAAUCCUGGUGGCGAGUGGCGAACGGGUGAGUAAUAUAUCGGAACGUGCCCGGUCGUGGGGAUAACGUAGCGAAAGCUACGCUAAUACCGCAUACGAUCUACGGAUGAAAGCGGGGGGUCGCAAGACCUCGCGCGAUUGGAGCGGCCGAUAUCAGAUUAGGUAGUUGGUGAGGUAAAGGCUCACCAAGCCGACGAUCUGUAGCUGGUCUGAGAGGACGACCAGCCACACUGGGACUGAGACACGGCCCAGACUCCUACGGGAGCAGCAGUGGGGAAUUUUGGACAAUGGGCGCAAGCCUGAUCCAGCAAUGCCGCGUGCAGGAUGAAGGCCUUCGGGUUGUAAAC
rnacentral:rRNA from 1 species